rnacentral:rRNA from 1 species
AUUGAACGCUGGCGGAAUGCUUUACACAUGCAAGUCGAACGGUAGAGGGGGCAACCCCUCGAGAGUGGCGAACGGGUGAGUAAUAUAUCGGAACGUGCCCAGUCGUGGGGGAUAACGUAGCGAAAGUUACGCUAAUACCGCAUACGAUCUAAGGAUGAAAGCGGGGGAUCGCAAGACCUCGCGCGAUUGGAGCGGCCGAUAUCAGAUUAGGUAGUUGGUGGGGUAAAGGCUCACCAAGCCAACGAUCUGUAGCUGGUCUGAGAGGACGACCAGCCAAACGGGAACUGAGACACGGUCCAGACUCCUAGGGGAGGCAGCAGUGGGGAAUUUUGGACAAUGGACGCAAGUCUGAUCCAGCCAUUCCGCGUGCAGGAUGAAGGCCCUCGGGUUGUAAACUGCUUUUGUACGGAACGAAAAGGUCUCUCUUAAUACGGGGGGCUCAUGACGGUACCGUAAGAAUAAGCACCGGCUAACUACGUGCCAGCAGCCGCCGUAA